GUACUUGCUUUGGCAACACAUAUACUAAAACUGGAAUGAUACAGAGAAGAUUAUCAAGGCCCCUGCACCAGGAUGACAUACAAAUUUGUGAAGCGUUUCUUAUUUUU
rnacentral:snRNA from 1 species